rnacentral:rRNA from 1 species
GAUGAACGCUAGCGGCAGGCUUAAUACAUGCAAGUCGUGGGGCAGCAUGAAUAUAGCAAUACAUUUGAUGGCGACCGGCAAACGGGUGCGGAACACGUACACAACCUUCCUAUAAGUGGGGAAUAGCCCAGAGAAAUUUGGAUUAAUACCCCGUAACAUAAUGAUGUGGCAUCACAUUAUUAUUAUAGCUUCGGCGCUUAUUGAUGGGUGUGCGGCUGAUUAGAUAGUUGGCGGGGUAACGGCCCACCAAGUCUACGAUCAGUAGCUGAUGUGAGAGCAUGAUCAGCCACACGGGCACUGAGACACGGGCCCGACUCCUACGGGAGGCAGCAGUAAGGAAUAUUGGUCAAUGGACGCAAGUCUGAACCAGCCAUGCCGCGUGAAGGAUUAAGGUCCUCUGGAUUGUAAACUUCUUUUAUCUGGGACGAAAAAAGGCGAUUCUUCGUCACUUGACGGUACCAGAUGAAUAAGCACCGGCUAACUCCGUGCCAGCCGCCGCAGUAAGAC